CAGCUGUAAGCAACAAGGCUGAAGUCUCUGCUGCUCCACAACCUACCUGCCAGUUUGGUCACAGGAACCUGCGUGUUUCAGAUAAGAUACCUCUUGGAUACCUCUUGAUUCACUCUUCUUCCUGCCACUGUGGUGAGGAUCAUUGAGUCUUUGACCAGCUUUAUGCAGUUGCAUGAAUACCCUUUAUGGAGGUUACCAAAUCCAGCAAAGUCAUCUUCCUACUAGAAAAAGACAGCAUCUCCUCAUCCUGCAUUCACUACAUGGUGGAACAAUGGGUGCUCAUGAGAGAUCGGGGGAAGAAAAGCAAAGAACCUGGUGUUGCCUCUUUGGGUUUUUCUGAGUUGGGAGUUUGGAGGCUGAAACCAAGAGGUCAGCUGGGACUGUGGUCUCAUCUGAGGCUUGACUGGGGGAGGAUUCACUGCCAAGCUCUCAUGGUGUUGGCAGCAUGCAGCUCCCUGAUGGCUGUCUGAGGGAUGGCCCCCAUUUCUGCUGGCUGUCAGCUCCUCAACCUGCAGCCCUCUCCAAAUGAGAGCUCAAACAACAAGGCAGCUUGCUUCUUCAAAUCCACCAAGGGAUAGUCUUCUUAAGACACUGCAGACUCACUGUGUAAAAAUUGUAAAAACACAAG
rnacentral:lncRNA from 10 species